UGCCAGCCGCGCGGUAAUACGUAGGUGGCAAGCGUUGUCCGGAUUUAUUGGGUUUAAAGGGUGCGUAGGCGGCCUAUUAAGUCAGUUCUGAAAUAUCCCGGCUUAACCGGGAGGGUGGGAUUGAUACUGAUGGGCUUGAGUGGAUUCGAGGUAGGCGGAAUUGACGGUGUAGCGGUGAAAUGCUUAGAUAUCGUCAAGAACACCGAUAGUGUAGACAGCUUACUAGACUUCAACUGACGCUGAGGCACGAAAGUGUGGGGAUCAAACAGG
rnacentral:rRNA from 1 species